rnacentral:rRNA from 1 species
GACGGGGGGUCCAAGCGUUGUUCGGAAUCAUUGGGCGUAAAGCGUGUGCAGGUGGCUCUGUAAGUUGGAUGUGAAAGCCCCGGGCUCAACUCGGGAAGUGCAUUCAAAACUACAAAGCUUGAGUAAGGAAGAGGGUCGUGGAAUUCCUGGUGUAGUGGUGAAAUACGUAGAUAUCAGGAGGAACACCGGUGGCGAAGGCGGCGACCUGGUCCUAUACUGACGCUGAGGUGCGAAAGCGUGGGGAGCAAACAGG